CAUGUCUUUUUGAGUUUAAUUUAAAGUCUAAUCUGCCCACUGAUAAUUAUUUAAGGGCCGCAGUAUUUUGACUGUGCAAAGGUAGCAUAAUCAUUAGUCUUUUAAUUGAGGGCUUGUAUGAAUGAUUGGACGAGAUAUAAUCUGUCUCAUAAAAAUUUCGGUAGAAUUUUAUUUUUUAGUUAAAAAGCUAAAAUUUAUUUAAAAGACGAGAAGACCCUAUAGAUCUUUAUAAUUUGUUUAUAAUUUUUUUUUUGGUUAUUUUUUAAAUUUAUAAAUUAAAUUAUUUUGUUGGGGUGACAAUGAAAUUUAAUAAACUUUCAUUAUUUUAUAAACAUUGAUUUAUGAAUAAUUGAUCCAUUAUUAAUGAUUAAAAAUUUAAGUUACCUUAGGGAUAACAGCGUAAUUAUUUUGGAGAGUUCUUAUCGAUAAAAUAGUUUGCGACCUCGAUGUUGGAUUAAGAUUAAUUCUGGGUGUAGCAGUUCAGUUUAUUAAGUCUGUUCGACUUUUAAUUUCU
rnacentral:rRNA from 1 species